UUCGUUUAAUAUUUGUAUGGAAUGGGAUCGUUUGCGUACGUUUGCCGCUAGGGGCGCUGUUCCAACUGCAUACAAAAUUGGGCUA
rnacentral:pre_miRNA from 1 species